UACGGAGGGUGCAAGCGUUGUUCGGAUUUACUGGGCGUAAAGCGCGCGCAGGUGGGUGAACAAGUCGGAAGUGAAAUCCCAGGGCUCAACCCUGGGGCUGCUCCCGAAACUGUACGCCUAGGGACUGGUAGAGGCUGGUAGAAUUCCCGGUGUAGCGGUGGAAUGCGUAGAGAUCGGGAAGAAUACCCGUGGCGAAGGCGGCCCGCUGGGCCAGGUCCGACACUGAGGCGCGAAAGCGUGGGGAGCAAACAGG
rnacentral:rRNA from 1 species